rnacentral:rRNA from 1 species
AUGCAUCAGAUUCACCGGACCGUCAAUAGAAUCACGACUUGUUCAAUAAAAAUAGGCAGCACAAGUCAGUUGGUCGCUAGCCAGCCUCCUUAUCUUGAACCCCGCAGAGAAGGUAGGUACACGGACACAUCUCGCCAACACAUCGCAAUUCGGCAGCAACCGCAGCCCAAGCAAACGGAGGCGAUGGGGAAGGAGUUCGGGAGCAUGGAGGAGUUCUGGGGGUUCUACCUGGGCCAGCACUCGAAGCCGGCCACGCGGCGCUGGCACUUCGCCGGCACGCUCGCCUCGCUGGUCUGCGCGCUGCUGGCGGCCGCCACCGGCCGCGCCGCGCUCCUGGUGGCCUGCCCCGUGCUCGGCUACGGCCUGGCCUGGUACAGCCACUUCUUCGUGGAGGGCAACCGGCCGGCCACCUUCGGCCACCCCGUCUGGUCCUUCCUCUGCGACUACCGCAUGUUCGCCCUCAUCCUCACCGGCCGCAUCGACGCCGAGCUCGCUCGCCUCCGCAUCCACCCGCCGCGCCCGCGCAUCGCCUCCGACUGA